rnacentral:sRNA from 1 species
UAUCCCCCAAACCAAGGGGGGAUGAGAACCACCGACCGGGGUUCGACAACUGGCGCAGCCAGUUGGACCGACGACGAGCUUGCGAGGAGACUGCCCGAAGGGCGAGCGCAGCGAGUCAAUCCCCCCCUCACCGCCA